rnacentral:lncRNA from 1 species
AUCUGGCAACGAGGCUGCGAGGAAAUCUUAAUGAUAUUGGACAUAUUGUUUUCCCCGGUGUACAAGGUAGAGUUGAAAGAUGCAAGUGGUGUUUCUGAUCACUUUCCUUUUGGUCUCAGCUCACUGCACACCAUGGAAACCACCGAUCAACAGAGUGACUACCAGAGCCCCCAUGCUGCCGUCACCACCGAGAACAGAAAUUGCUCCUCCUCUGACUCCGAGGCCCCCAGGCCCUUUCACCCCAGACAGACGGGGAGACAUGUGAUUCAUGAAGUUCUGCAGGGAUUUCAGAGCGAAAGGCAGCUUCUUCCCCCGCAUCCACACCACAGCUGACGAUCCAACACAGCAGCUCUCUGCUCCGUGUCCCACAAGGGACCCUCUUCUGUAUCCUGGCUAAAAUGGCACUUCAUUAAAAAUGUUUCUGUCACUACGAUAUUCCCAAGUGGAAUGAUAUUUCCCAUCAUUAUCAGCCUUUAAAGAGAGAUGGGGAAAACGAGCAAAGGAAUCGAGGGAACAGGAUCUCUUUUUUCCUGGGAAGCCCUAGGCGUAGCUAAAAAUCAAGAGGUUCUAUGACAAAGGAAGAGGGCAAGAGGAUACUGGGGUGGUGGUGGGUGACAGGACUGUCUCCAGGUGACAUCCAAGCCCUUGAGAGACCUCUGGGAUGUUUCCAGCAAGAGGAGAUGGUAUUCUGACCCUUUUAACUGGGACAGAAAUUUGAUGAAGCUCAGGGGAAAUGCACCUAAAAUUUCCCCUUGUCUUAUUUGGGAGGCAGAGUUAGCAGUUUCUCCCUAAUCACAGAUGUGCAAAGAAAAGGG